CGUGGAUGUUAUCUGUAUUUGCUACCCUUUAAAUGACACCUGGGGCUCCAUCUGAAAAUCAUUUGUCUACACUACAGGUUUAAUAUGGCAGUAGUAUUCUAGUCACAACAGCCUUCAUGAUUUGUGGAUUGUAUUUACUUGGUAAUAUGGUAUUCUGACCUUUGGUCUGGUUUUCUUUUAUGCUGCCUGCAACAAACUUGUCUUGUCUCUGACAUGCGUAACUCGGCUAGUUUCUGGUUAUCCUCUCUUCGCUCCUGGCGUUCUCUGUGUUCAAGCACCUUAAGAAACAGUAUUACACUUUUUGCAG